rfam:Ciona savignyi cont_35709, whole genome shotgun sequence.
GCUUAUCACCAUUCCAGAUUGAAUAUACCCGAUCUCGUCUGAUCUCGGAAGUCAAGCAAUCUCUGACUUGGUUAGUACUUGGAUGGGUGACCGCUUGGGAAAACCAAGUGUGAUAAGCA